UCAGUGGCGAACGGGUGAGUAACACGUGAGCAAUCUGCCCCUGACUCUGGGAUAAGCGUUGGAAACGACGUCUAAUACCGGAUACGAGCUGCGAAGGCAUCUUCAGCAGCUGGAAAGAACUUCGGUCAGGGAUGAGCUCGCGGCCUAUCAGCUAGUUGGUGAGGUAAUGGCUCACCAAGGCGUCGACGGGUAGCCGGCCUGAGAGGGUGACCGGCCACACUGGGACUGAGACACGGCCCAGACUCCUACGGGAGGCAGCAGUGGGGAAUAUUGCACAAUGGGCGCAAGCCUGAUGCAGCAACGCCGCGUGAGGGACGACGGCCUUCGGGUUGUAAACCUCUUUUAGCAGGGAAGAAGCGAAAGUGACGGUACCUGCAGAAAAAGCACCGGCUAACUACGUGCCAGCAGCCGCGGUAAUACGUAGGGUGCAAGCGUUAUCCGGAAUUAUUGGGCGUAAAGAGCUCGUAGGCGGUUUGUCGCGUCUGCUGUGAAAACCCGAGGCUCAACCUCGGGCCUGCAGUGGGUACGGGCAGACUAGAGUGCGGUAGGGGAGAUUGGAAUUCCUGGUGUAGCGGUGGAAUGCGCAGAUAUCAGGAGGAACACCGAUGGCGAAGGCAGAUCUCUGGGCCGUAACUGACGCU
rnacentral:rRNA from 1 species